ensembl:lncRNA
GUCUGUUUAUGCUUUAUAAGAGGUCACCACAAUGACUCCUUCCCGAGACCCGUACCACUGUCCUUCUCAUGUGGAGACCUUGACCAAGAUGGAUCAAUUGUUUGUUUACAAAGAAGAAACUGCAUUAGAAGGUCUUGCAGAAGUUUGCUGUGGAAUAAAGCCUAUCAGCAAAUAUUUUGUGAAUGAUGGCAUGGGGAACAAGGUUUUCGGUAUUCUUGAGGACAGCGAGUGUUGUGACAGGUCUAUCUGUCCUGUUGAACAUUCUUUCAUAAUGAAUGUCACUGACAUCUCAAAUCAAGAGGUCAUCAGACUGGUGCGCCCGUUUGUUAGUUGCUGCGGGACCAGUAAGGUACGAAUGUUAUUCUCAUCUUGUUUAGCCUUUAAUUAUGUUAUGUGCUAUAUAUUAUAUGUUGUAUUUAUAUUUUAGCUAGAGGUUCAGUCUCCACCAGGCACUGCCAUUGGAUGUGUUUGAAAAAACUGGCAUAAUUGCCCACCUAAAUUCACUGUUGAGGAUGAACAAGGUGAACUGGCGUUUAAGAUUAAGGGGCCGCUUGUAACUUGU